UGCACGCUUCAUGUGUGCGAAAAGCUCUAAUUUUGGGAAUAUUUUCUUCUUGUGGUGCAGGCUGCACCGUACUAUAAUAAGCUCUAUUUUAAUCUUUUAUUUUAUUUAUCUUAAAAAAAGUUAUAUGAGUUAUGGGAUAAGAAUUCAAAUGUGAUAUUUUUGAAUUAUGCGAAAUAAAUUUAUCUUAUAAAUUGGAAUAUUUUAUAAUUUUUAAGGUCAAACGAGUUUCGAAACAGGUAAAUCCCCUAUUUUGUUGAUUUUCGUGUGGUAUAGUGAAUCAUCUUUUUUUGUGAUUUGAAAUUCCGAUGUUAUUUUAGCCAAAAUUUUUCAUGGACAUCUGUUAAAACGUUAACUAUGGAUCCAGUUGUCCAUGACAGCUAAAACGGUCCAUUUGCAAGAUCAAAUGAGCCCCGAAGCAGACUUAAGAUAUGGAGCUAGUUGGCCCAGAACGACCAAAAGGGUCCAUUUUCAAGGUCAAACAAGCCCUGGAGCAGUUAUGGAGCUAAUUGGCCUUGACGGCCAAAACGGUAUAUUUUGAAGGUCAAACGAGCCUUGGAGCAGGUGAACCCCCAUUUUGCCAAUUUUCGUUUGUCAUAGUUUACUAUCUUUUUUGGUGAUCCGAAAUUACGACGUUAUUUUGCCAAAAAAUUUUGUGGGUGUCCGUUAAGACGUUAGCUGUGGAGCAGUUCGCCCUGACGACCAAAAUAGUCCAUUUAAAAGAUCAAAUUAAAGAAGCCCCGGAGCAGGUAAACCCUCUCCCUCAUUAUGUCGAUUUUCGUGUUGGUUCCCUCUGUAGGGAAUUGGUGGAGCAAUACACACAGUCUCACUAUUUUUAGAGUGAUAUGACGGAGAAAUAACUCCUAAUAGCCCAAAAUAUGAAGCUUCACGUAUUGCUCUCGCAACUCCAUACAGAGUAUCUUUUAAUCAAUUUUCAUUGUAAUCGUCCGUCAGUCACAUCACCAAAAUAUUCAUGAGCUAACUGUGCCAACACAAACCCAAUAGCAUAGACGGAAUUCGGAAAGACAAUUAAAUAUAUAAAAUAUUUUAUGUUAUUAAACAUUAUAAUUUAUUAAACUUUUCGCAUUAUUUUUCUUUAUCUCAAUUUAUGUGAUACCGAAAAUAUCCGAAAGUAUUUACAACUAUUGAAUUUCCAGAUUCAGGCAUUGUGUUGCUGUAUGUGGAAAGCUCUAAUUUAUGUUGGGAUAUUUUCUUCUUGUGGUGCUCGCUGCUGCGUACAAUGAUGAGCUAUAUUUGCCUCUAUCUUUUUUUUUUUAAUACUAUUUUUUGUUUAUUUGAAGUGAUUGUU